GAUGAACGCUGGCGGCGUGCCUAAUACAUGCAAGUCGUGCGAACAGACGAGGAGCUUGCUCCUCUGACGUUAGCGGCGGACGGGUGAGUAACACGUGGAUAACCUACCUAUAAGACUGGGAUAACUUCGGGAAACCGGAGCUAAUACCGGAUAAUAUAUUUAACCGCAUGGUUCAAUAGUGAAAGACGGUUUUGCUGUCACUUAUAGAUGUAUCCGCGCCGCAUUAGCUAGUUGGUAAGGUAACGGCUUACCAAGGCAACGAUGCGUAGCCGACCUGAGAGGGUGAUCGGCCACACUGGAACUGAGACACGGCCCAGACUCCUACGGGAGGCAGCAGUAGGGAAUCUUCGGCAAUGGGCGAAAGCCUGACGGAGCAACGCCGCGUGAGUGAUGAAGGUCUUCGGAUCGUAAAACUCUGUUAUUAGGGAAGAACAAAUGUGUAAGUAACUAUGCACGUCUUGACGGUACCUAAUCAGAAAGCCACGGCUAACUACGUG
rnacentral:rRNA from 1 species